UCGGUUUGGACCGGAAGUCACGUUAUUUUAAUUCAAAAAUUUUUUUCCAGAACAGUUAGAUAGAUGAUUCUAAAAUUUUUGCUGAGAUAAUUAGCAUACAUGAUCAAUUAUACAUCAGUGACAUGUGAUAAACAAUAAGAGAUGUUCAGAAUUGUAUUAGUAUAGUUUUUCGUCCCACAUACUAAUUUUAUCCAGGUAAGUUGAGGCAGCGUAUGGCAGGUGAGCACGUGUUAAGUGACGCACCUGCGCCGUUAACCACAGUACGUAAACCCAAGCUACACACACAGACAGUUUGCGUGAAGAACUCGUAAAAGAAUCAUAUCUUCUAUGUUAAGAUGCGAUGAGUUGUACGUAACCACGUGACAAGUACUGAAAGGAUUUUUAACUGCGACCGUCUAUCAUCAACAUCUUCAACUUUCUUUUUUCUUUUUGUUUUCUUCCUGCCGUUCCUAGAAAAUUACUUGCUAUAUCGAUUAUUGCCAGGAUGAAGAUUAAUUUAUUUAUUGCAAUCAUCUGCGUUCUGUUGAUUAAUUCUGUUUGUAAAAGUCAAAAAAGGAUGUAUCAAGAUCACACGGUGCAAACUUACUUCAGUGAA